UAGGAGGCAGCAGUGGGGAAUAUUGCACAAUGGGCGAAAGCCUGAUGCAGCUAUGCCGCGUGUAUGAAGAAGGCCUUAGGGUUGUAAAGUACUUUCAUCGGGGAGGAAAAAACAAAACUAAUAAUUUUAUUUCUUGACGUUACCCGAAAAAGAAGCACCGGCUAACUCGGUGCCAGCAGCCGCGGUAAUACGGAGGGUGCUAGCGUUAAUCAGAAUUACUGGGCGUAAAGAGCACGUAGGUGGUUUUUUUAAGUCAGAUGUGAAAUCCCUGGGCUUAACCUAGGAACUGCAUUUUGAAACUGAAAUACUAGAGUAUCGUAGAGGGAGGUAGAAUUCUAGGUGUAGCGGUGAAAUGCGUAGAUAUCUGGAGGAAUACCUGUGGCGAAAGCGGCCUCCUAAACGAAUACUGACACUGAGGUGCGAAAGCGUGGGGAGCAAACAGGGAUUAGAUACC
rnacentral:rRNA from 1 species